rnacentral:rRNA from 1 species
UAGGGAAUCUUCGGCAAUGGGGGGAACCCUGACCGAGCAACGCCGCGUGAGUGAAGAAGGUUUUCGGAUCGUAAAGCUCUGUUGUUAAGGAAGAACGAGUGUGAGAAUGGAAAGUUCAUGCUGUGACGGUACUUAACCAGAAAGGGACGGCUAACUACGUGCCAGCAGCCGCGGUAAUACGUAGGUCCCGAGCGUUGUCCGGAUUUAUUGGGCGUAAAGCGAGCGCAGGCGGUUAGAAAAGUCUGAAGUGAAAGGCAGUGGCUCAACCAUUGUAGGCUUUGGAAACUGUUUAACUUGAGUGCAGAAGGGGAGAGUGGAAUUCCAUGUGUGGCGGUGAAAUGCGUAGAUAUAUGGAGGAACGCCGGUGGCGAAAGCGGCUCUCUGGUCUGUAACUGACGCUGAGGCUCGAAAGCGUGGGGAGCGAACAGG